rnacentral:rRNA from 1 species
CCUUGAGCAAUGUUCGUCAGCUCAGGGUUAGUCGGUCCUAAGCUGAGGCCGAAAGGCGUAAGCGAUGGAUAUCCGGUUAAUAUUCCGGAACCAUUCUGGAGUCGUUAGUCACUAACUUUGUGCGCAUUAGAGUAUGGUUAUCUCCGUGUUGAAUUACGGGGUUUAAUCCCGCCGUGAGGCGGGAGAAUACGACCCUCGAGAAAUCGGGGGGAAGUAACUGAAUCUGGUGCCAAGAAAAGCAAAGUUUAGGAGUCUCCGGGAUGACCGUACCGCAAACCAACACAGGUGGGUAGGGUGAAUAACCUAAGGCGCGCGAGUGAUUUGCCGCUAAGGAACUCGGCAAAAUUGCCCUGUAACUUCGGGAUAAAGGGUUCCCCCGAUUUAUCGGGGGAUUCAAUAAAGAGUCUCAUGCGACUGUUUAACAAAAACACAGGUCUCUGCUUAAAUCGUAAGAUGAUGUAUAGGGACUGACGCCUGCCCGGUGCUAGAAGGUCAAGAGGAGUUGUCAUCUCUGACGCAAGUUGGGGAGAAGCGAUGAAUUUAAGCCCUAGUAAACGGCGGCCGUAACUAUUGUUUGGACCACAGUAGUUGUAAAAUCUGGCUAUAUGCUGGAAAAUCCUGGUAUGCUAACAGUACUCCUGUUAAUGUUGAUAAGAACAGGACGUGACAAUCUGUUAGAUAGGGCUGCGUAUUCGCACGAAUAAGUGCGAAUGAGUUACGCAGGACGGCGAGAAGGUGAGCCGGCGGGACAAUCAGCAGGAAAGACCUGAAAUGAGGGCUCCAUGCGAACAGAAACAGGCUAUUACUUAGCAGGUUUUGCAGACGGAGAAGGAAGUUUUAAUAUUUCUUUCAGACCGAGGCAAGAUUAUAAGUUACCGUGGAAAAUCUCUCUCUGCUUUAACAUUUCCCAGAAGGAUAAAGUUAUUCUGUCGUUAUUCAAACGUUAUUUGGUUUGUGGAACAUUAAGGAGCAGACCCGAUGGUGUUUGGUAUUACGAAGUAAAUAACUUCAAUGCGAUAUGGGAAAAGGUAAUACCUUUCUUUAAGAAAUAUAGAUUCUUGUCCGCUAAGAAAAAACGUGACUUCUCAAAAUUUUGCCAGAUAGCAGAAAUGGUAAAAAAAGGGGAGCAUCUUAAAGAAGAUGGUAUCAGAAGAAUUGUUGAAAUAAGACGAGAGAUGAAUGACGGUGGUAAACGCAAGUAUAGCAAUACGGAGAUCCUAAGUAAAUUUCAGGAAUCCCCAGAGACUAUACGCCAGAUCCCGAUAACUCGGGAAUGAUAUAGUCCGGUCUCCGAUGAAAAUCGGAGUUAACAUAAACGAACGGUCCUAAGGUUAGUUUAAUGCUAGCCUGUUCCGGUAGUAAUAUCGGAAGUAAUAUUUAACUAUAUGCGGGGAACUCCCCAAAAAAUGUUUGAUACUAGUCUAUUCAUUUGAAUGGGACAGUAAAAAAUCAACAUACAUGAGGACAAUCCGCAGGGAAGGCAUAUUAUGGAUAAUAAUAUGAACCCUCAGAGACUACACGUUGAAUAUCCGAAUUGCAACAGCUUGACUCCUGACUGGAUUGUGGGAUUCGUAGACGGGGAAGGUUGUUUUCACAUAGGGAUAAAUAAGAAUGACGAAGUUAAAUCCGGGUACCAGGUUUUACCCGAAUUGACAGUCGUCCAACACAAACGAGACAUUCAACUUCUUUAUCGAUUACGCACAUUUAUGAAAUGUGGCGUGGUAAGAAGUAAUCAUGGAGACCGUUUCUGUUGGCGUGUCAGAUGUCUUAAAAACCUUGUGGAAAUAAUUCUUCCAUUUUUUGAAAAGCAUCCAUUGAAAUCAAAAAAAAAUAUUGAAUUUCACAGAUUUGCAAAGGUGGUGCGAAUGAUGGAGAAAGAUAAACACCUUACCCAGGAAGGAUUCCAGAAGAUUAUUAAAAUUGCGGAAGAGAUGAACAGGCAAGAGCAAAGAGAAAUUCGGAUAAAGAUAUAGUCCACACUUCGAUGAAAAUCGAGGAUUUUGUGAGCGAAAUUCCUUGUCGGGUAAGUUCCGACCUGCACGAAUGGCGUAACGAAAUGAGAACUGUCUCGGCGGCAAACUCGGCGAAAUUGUGGUGUCCGUGAAGACGCGGACUACCUGCGGAUAGACGAAAAGACCCCGUGGAGCUUUACUAUAGCUUAAUAUUGAAUUACGGGGUAGGAUGCGUAGCAUAGGUGGGAGGCUUUGAUUCCCCGAUUUUGGUCGGGGAGGAGCCGCCAGUGAAAUACCACCCUUUCUGCUUUGUGGUUCUAAUUCUAGUCCGUGAAACCGGACGGAAGACAGUGUUAGGUGGGUAGUUUGACUGGGGCGGUUACCUCCCAAAGAGUAACGGAGGCGUUCAAAGGUACCCUCAUCCUGAAUAAAAGUCAGGAGUUGAGUGCAAAGGCAUAAGGGUGCUUGACUGCGAGUCCGACGGGACAAGCAGGUACGAAAGUAGGACUUAGUGAUCCGGUGGUUGCGUAUGGAAGUGCCAUCGCUCAACGGAUAAAAGCUACCCCGGGGAUAACAGGCUUAUCGAGCCCGAGAGUCCAUAUCGACGGCUCGGUUUGGCACCUCGAUGUCGGCUCAUCGCAUCCUGGGGCUGGAGCAGGUCCCAAGGGUUUGGCUGUUCGCCAAUUAAAGCGGUACGUGAGCUGGGUUCAGUACGUCGUGAGACAGUACGGUCUCUAUCUUCCGUAGGUGUUGGAAACUUGAGGGGAGCUGGCCUUAGUACGAGAGGACCAGGCUGGACAAGCCUCUGGUGUGCCUGCUAUCGCGUCAGCGGUAUUAGCAGGGUAGCCAUUGCUUGGAUAGAAUAACCGCUGAAAGCAUCUAAGCGGGAAGUCAACCCUAAAACAAGGUUUCCCUCCCGAUGAAAGUCGGGACUGAAGGUCACCAGAAGACUACUGGUUUUAUAGGUCGGGUGUGUAAGUCCAGUAAUGGAUUGAGCUAACCGAUACUAAUCGACCGUGCGGCUUGGCCAU